UCCUACGGGGGGCAGCAGUGGGGAAUAUUGCACAAUGGGGGAAACCCUGAUGCAGCAACGCCGCGUGAGUGAAGAAGUCAUUCGUGAUGUAAAGCUCUAUCAGCAGGGAAGAAAAUGACGGUACCUGAGUAAGAAGCCCCGGCUAACUACGUGCCAGCAGCCGCGGUAAUACGUAGGUGGCGAGCGUUAUCCGGAAUGAUUGGGCGUAAAGGGUGCGUAGGCGGCCUGCUAAGUCUGGAGUGAAAGGUACCGGCUCAACCGGUACAGGCUCUGGAAACUGGCGGGCUAGGGAGCAGGAGAGGGCG
rnacentral:rRNA from 1 species